rnacentral:misc_RNA from 1 species
CUUAAAAUGAGUUAAACGAGUUUUAGUGCAGUAAGAGACAUCUCUGCAAUAUUCCUUACUCUGCUAACUAUCAACAUGACAAGAUACGACAGGCAAGGUGUUCCUAACCAAAGUUUUCAUAAUCCGAAGGGAAUAACUCUUUACCCAGAGGGUUUGGACAAGUACGCAAUGGGAAACACACCAGCUCGAGAUAUCACAGAGCUCUUGGGCACUUCGGCAGAACAACAUGUAGACGUGUUGCUUUUAGCGUGUGGUGAUGUUAGAAAUUUCCUAUGCAGUAUAUCUGACCUGUCUUUGAGAAAUCUUCAUGAACAUCCCAAGAGUUUAAGUUUCCAUUUGAAUGAUUAUGAUCCGUCAGUGAUAGCUCGCGAUGUUGUGCUCUUAGAAGUCGCUAGUGUGAUAAAUUCUGAUGUCCCUGCUGAUGUAGAGUUCUUGUGGAAUAUUUGGUAUAACCUAGCGCUGUCGUCGGCUCACUUUGAUCGACUACGAAAAGUACUCAGUGAACUGUUAGAGAGGAAUUUUGACACCGACGAAAUCAUCUUAAAGUUUCAAGAUGGCGACGUUCUCCAAGAAUGUCGGGAUAUAUGGAAAGACUGGAUGGAUCUCGAUCUCGAGGUGAAAAGUGUAAAAGAGGAAAGAAACAACCUGAUGGAGGACAAAACAAGAAAUGUAGGAUUCUGUGAGGAUUCGCACCGCCAAUCUGUACUAGACCACAUAAACAUGGAGAUUUAUCAAGAGGAAUUAGAAAAGUUUGUGAAACAUGCUGCGACAAAUCCGCUCUACACGGAGAUAGAACACUGGUAUAGAGAAGGCUCCACGAGUGAUGAGUCGGAGAAAACAAAUCCAACAUUGAUUCGUCCAUUUGUUCGCAAGUGGAGACAGCAUUACAGUUCCUGUGCGUUUAAGGGUUAUCCACCCCUGGAAAGGAGAGACCUCGAGCAAGGUAAAUCAUGUGCAGAUGUCUGUAAGGAAAAGCUGGCAGUUUGGGUGAAAAGAUUUCAGGAGCAAAGUAAGAAUGACCAAGCAACUCUGAAGGUGACUCUGUGGACAGGCGAUGCACUUGCUUUGUGCACAAGCGGCUUCCUGCCAGAAAUGUUGUUUGACGUUAUCGAUACAAGUAAUCUCAGUGAUCACGCUGGUUUGCUAAAUGUUCUCGUCUGCUGUGCCCCGAGGUUGAAAGUACCAAAUGAGUCUUUGCUGUUCACAUCAAGCAUGUUAUGGCACGGUAAAUGUGACACUAUAAAGGAGUACUACCAAAACUCUGUUGGUGUUCCGUCGCAACUUCUCCCGACGGUUCUUGGCUUGAAGCUGGCUGUUGAUCUCGAAUUGGGAAGCAAAAAACUUCCAGAUGAUUUGGACUCUACAGAAGAGACUCUUUGCUGGGUCAAGGCGGACACAAAAAGGACUUUACUGACAAUAGAUAAAGCCACCGAUGUUGUCCAAGCGUUACUGGAUCUCACAGAGCGUUGCUUCAAUCUGUCGAACGAGACCUCCAUUGACCUCACUUUACCAUCACCUCUGACCUUGCUUCGAAUUAUACAUCAGGCACAACCACUCUUCAAGGGAGGAGCCACCAAGAUUUUUCACGCUCUUGAAAAUAAGCUACCAGCUGAUUUUAAGGAGAGGCACGGACUAUCCUGGAAUUUGUUAAAGGCGUCGUUGGGGAGAAAACCAAAGCCCAUCGUUGAAAUAAAAGUAACCACCAAGUUAACAGUCCAACCUUCAUUUAAGGGUACACCAAAGCCUGUGAUUUACAUUGAAAGGGAACACAGCAGUCCUGAGGAUGAUCCCUUACAAUGGAUUCUCGCUAUUGACCUUGCCUCACAGCCGAAUCCUUCAGCAAUUCACAACAGCUUACGCUAUGAAGAUAAAACGCACGUGGCGACUUUCCAUCUAAGCGAGGAAGACUGGAAUGAGCUUAACUGUUCUUCCACGCUACGGAUAUCAUCCAGAGAAGCUGUCAUCGAUCAUAAACCGGUGCGUCUUGGGGACGAGACUGUGAAGAGUGUUAAACGAGUUGAUCCUGUCGAAACAUUUGGUUUGUUUGCAAGUCAGACUUUCACCGUGGUGGAAUCCGACGAAAAAUGCCAAGUUGUAAAGGUAAUAAAAAUGGAGGAGGAAGCUGGUUCUUACUCCGGGGAACUUGAGAUACUGGACUCCGCUAUCUGUAAAGCGGAAGCGAUAGAGAUCAGCCAGCCAGAUAAGUCUCCAACGGAUGUCCAAAUAGACUUCAGGGGGGCCACAGGUGACCCACUUAGCAUGUAUUUUUCAUGCUUUGUCGACAUUGGCUCAUCCGAGUUCCAAAUCUCACGCAAAGUUGGGAAAAUAUUCUGCAACAUUUCCAAACUAAACGAUGGAACAGUGGGAGAACUUGUAAUACAAAACUUAGCUCCACUGCCUUUUCAUGCAAUGCCAGAGUGGGAUAGUAGUCUUACCGAUAUAAGAAUGCUCGGUAGAAUGUUUCGCACCAUGCAUGAUGUGAAACUGAAGUCACAGCGUAUGCCGGGUCCGCCAUUUUUUGACCUUAGAGAGUCUAUUUCAGACAUUAUAGAUAAGCACGUAACGGAACCUGAGAUUCCUAGGAUACAUUAUGUUGACGAGCGAGGAAUCAUCGAAGAACCAUAUGACUCACCUGAAGACAUGCUGAAGAAGAAGGGCUUCGUCAUCAAGGUAGAAAAAGUGUACAAGUGGAAGAAUUUACCAGUGGCUAGAGUUAUUUUCUGCGAUUGUCAGCGGUUUGCUAAGUUGCUUCGCAAGAAUCCAAAAGAUGUGACAAUUUUAGCAGAAUACUUUAACCGUAUUUUAGGCGACAGAGUCAAACGACUUGUUGCACAUCAAGAGGUAAGAAAUGAUUUUAUGAAACGAUAUCCGUGAAAUUAAUGUAUGGCUUUUGUCUGCUACUAUCUCUUUCACUCCAUGCGAUGACCAAGCCAUUCUUAGAAGACUGGGAAUUUCUGGGAUCUUCACCUAUUACUUGAAGGAAAGAAUCAAAGGAAACAGUGAAUAAGUCGUGGAUACAUUACGUUUAAAUUGGUUUUAAAAUGAUAAAUCCCUUUUAACAAAAAUGGUUAACUCUCGAAUAAAGUUAAAGCUAAUUGGGAUCACUUUGAACUGCAAGGGUGAUGCUGGGAGAAUGGUCAGGAUCCACACUCUGGCUUUCGGUCAGUACAAAAUGCAGACUGCAGAUCGGUUACAAAAUGUGGAUCAGGAACAGAAUGCAGAUUGGAUAAAAAAUUCACACUGUUUUUCGUCUAAUACAUAAUAAUAGAACUAUAGUGGCCGCUUUUUAAAAACAAAAUAUAGGAGGAGACGGGCAAGGAAUAUUGAGACAAAUAUUUCACAACAGUCCAGAUGAUCGUGAAAGAUAAUCGCGGAGAAGCGAUAAAGUGACACUUGGUAAGUUGAAAAAUGACUUGUUAUCGCGUAUCAGACGAAACAACAAAUUCUCAGCCUGAAUUUUAUACCAAUCUGCGGUCUGCAUUCUGUACCCGGUCGGCAGUCUGCGGUCUGAAUUUUGUACUGACCGGUUCAUAAUUUUCUUCCAUGGUAAUCUCGAUGGUUCUUCAUCACGCCGCGGACGCCUUUGCUUAUACGAGUGGACUUUGACUUCCUUCUUCGUUCCUGUAAUCUUCCAGAAUGAUUUCUGUUACCAUCAAGAGAAGGUCUUGUUCCGUAAAAUGCUGUACACACAUGCAGCCCGCGUUCCUCAAGAUCGUUAUUCUGUUGUAUGGAAGAAUUCG